UCAAGUGAAUAAGUGCAUGUGGUGGAUGCCUUGGCGAUUACAGGCGAUGAAGGACGUUGUAGCCUGCGAUAAGCCGCGGGGAGCUGGCAAACAAGCUUUGAUCCGCGGAUGUCCGAAUGGGGAAACCCACCCGCAAGGGUAUCGCUGACUGAAUCCAUAGGUCAGCGAGGCGAACGUGGCGAACUGAAACAUCUAAGUAGCCACAGGAAAAGAAAUCAACCGAGAUUCCGAAAGUAGUGGCGAGCGAAAUCGGAGCAGCCUGUGCGUGAUAGUCGAUUGGCUAGUGGAACGGUAUGGAAAGGCCGGCCAUAGAGGGUGAUAGCCCCUUACACGAAAGCGAAUCGGUGGUACUGAGCGUACGACAAGUAGGGCGGGACACGUGUAAUCCUGUCUGAAGAUGGGGGGACCAUCCUCCAAGGCUAAAUACUCGUAAUCGACCGAUAGUGAACAAGUACUGUGAAGGAAAGGCGAAAAGAACCCCGGGAGGGGAGUGAAAUAGAUCCUGAAACCGCAUGCAUACAAACAGUCGGAGCCUCGCAAGGGGUGACGGCGUACCUUUUGUAUAAUGGGUCAGCGACUUACAUUCAGUGGCAAGCUUAACCAGAUAGGGGAGGCGCAGGGAAACCGAGUCCGAACAGGGCGCCAUAGUCGCUGGGUGUAGACCCGAAACCAGGUGAUCUAUCCAUGGUCAGGAUGAAGGUUGGGUAACACCAGCUGGAGGUCCGAACCGACUAAUGUUGCAAAAUUAGCGGAUGAACUGUGGAUAGGGGUGAAAGGCUAAUCAAACCUGGAAAUAGCUGGUUCUCCCCGAAAACUAUUUAGGUAGUGCGUCAUGUAUUGCUCCAGGGGGUAGAGCACUGUAAUGGUUGUGGGGGCCAUCGCGGCUUACCACGCCAUAGCAAACUCCGAAUACCUGGAAGUAUGAGCAUGGCAGACAGUCGCCGGGUGCUAACGUCCGGCGGCAAGAGGGAAACAACCCAGACCUACAGCUAAGGUCCCAAAGUGUGGCUAAGUGGGAAACGAAGUGGGAAGGCUAAAACAGUCAGGAUGUUGGCUUAGAAGCAGCCAUCAUUUAAAGAAAGCGUAAUAGCUCACUGAUCGAGUCGUCCUGCGCGGAAGAUGUAACGGGGCUAAGCCAUGCACCGAAGCUUAGGCUGCACUCUUUGAGUGCGGGGUAGGGGAGCGUUCUGUAAGCCUGUGAAGGUGUCUCGUAAGGGAUGCUGGAGGUAUCAGAAGUGCGAAUGCUGACAUGAGUAGCGUUAAAGCGGGUGAAAAGCCCGCUCGCCGUAAGCGCAAGGUUUCCUACGCAACGUUCAUCGGCGUAGGGUGAGUCGGCCCCUAAGGUGAGGGCGAAAGCCAUAGCUGAUGGGAAGCUGGUUAAUAUUCCAGCACCGAUUUCUAGUGCGAUGGGGGGACGGAUCGUGGAAGGUUGUCCGGGUGUUGGAAGUCCCGGUUCCUGACCUGUAGGUGUCUGGUAGGUAAAUCCGCCAGGCAUAUGCCGAGGGGUUGGGACGAGCGAGCUUGCUCGCGAAGCAACUGGAAGUGGUUCCAAGAAAAGCCUCUAAGCUUCAGCUAGAAACGACCGUACCGCAAACCAACACUGGUGCGCGAGAUGAGUAUUCUCAGGCGCUUGAGAGAACUCGGGAGAAGGAACUCGGCAAAUUGACACCGUAACUUCGGAAGAAGGUGUGCCUUGGUAGCUUGAGUGUGAACAGCACAAGGGCGAAGAGGUUGCAAAGAAUAGGUGGCUGCGACUGUUUAUUAAAAACACAGCACUCUGCAAACACGAAAGUGGACGUAUAGGGUGUGACGCCUGCCCGGUGCCGGAAGGUUAAGUGAUGGGGUGCAAGCUCUUGAUCGAAGCCCCGGUAAACGGCGGCCGUAACUAUAACGGUCCUAAGGUAGCGAAAUUCCUUGUCGGGUAAGUUCCGACCUGCACGAAUGG
rnacentral:rRNA from 1 species